UACGUAGGGGGCAAGCGUUAUCCGGAUUUACUGGGUGUAAAGGGAGCGUAGACGGUUAUGCAAGUCUGAAGUGAAAGCCCAAGGCUCAACCAUGGGACUGCUUUGGAAACUGUAAAACUGGAGUGCAGGAGAGGUAAGCGGAAUUCCUAGUGUAGCGGUGAAAUGCGUAGAUAUUAGGAGGAACACCAGUGGCGAAGGCGGCCUACUGGACGGUGACUGACGCUGAGGCUCGAAAGCGUGGGGAGCAAACAGG
rnacentral:rRNA from 1 species